UACGUAGGGUGCAAGCGUUGUCCGGAAUUAUUGGGCGUAAAGAGCUCGUAGGUGGUCUGUUGCGUCGGCUGUGAAAUCCCGAGGCUCAACCCCGGGCCUGCAUUCGAUACGGGCAGACUAGAGUUCGGUAGGGGAGUCUGGAAUUCCUGGUGUAGCGGUGAAAUGCGCAGAUAUCAGGAGGAACACCGGUGGCGAAGGCGGGACUCUGGGCCGAUACUGACGCUGAGGAGCGAAAGCGUGGGGAGCAAACAGG
rnacentral:rRNA from 1 species